rnacentral:rRNA from 1 species
GCAUAUCAAUAAGCGGAGGAAAAGAAACCAACAGGGAUUGCCUCAGUAACGGCGAGUGAAGCGGCAAGAGCUCAAAUUUGAAAUCUGGCCUCUUUGGGGUCCGAGUUGUAAUUUGCAGAGGAUGCUUCGGGAGUGGUCCCCAUCUAAGUGCCCUGGAACGGGACGUCAUAGAGGGUGAGAAUCCCGUAUGGGAUGGGUGGCCGCGCCCGUGUGAAGCGCCUUCGACGAGUCGAGUUGUUUGGGAAUGCAGCUCUAAGCGGGUGGUAAAUUUCAUCUAAAGCUAAAUACUGGCCGGAGACCGAUAGCGCACAAGUAGAGUGAUCGAAAGAUGAAAAGCACUUUGAAAAGAGAGUUAAAUAGCACGUGAAAUUGUUGAAAGGGAAGCGUUGUCCACCAGACUCGCCCGGGAGGGUUCAGCUGGCACUUGUGCCGGUGUACUCCCUUUCGGGCGGGCCAGCAUCGGUUUGGGCGGCCGCUAAAAGGCCUCGGGAAUGUAGCACCCUCCGGGGUGCCUUAUAGCCCGGGGUGACAUGCGACCUGCCUGGACCGAGGUUCGCGCUUCGGCGAGGAUGCUGGCGUAAUGGUGGUCAACGGCCCGUCUUGAAACACGGACCAAGGAGUCUAACAUCUAUGCGAGUGUUCGGGUGUCAAACCCGUCCGCGCAGUGAAAGCGAACGGAGGUGGGAACCCUUUGGGGUGCACCAUCGACCGAUCCUGAAGUCUUCGGAUGGAUUUGAGUAAGAGCAUAGCUGUUGGGACCCGAAAGAUGGUGAACUAUGCCUGAAUAGGGCGAAGCCAGAGGAAACUCUGGUGGAGGCUCGCAGCGGUUCUGACGUGCAAAUCGAUCGUCAAAUUUGGGUAUAGGGGCGAAAGACUAAUCGAACCAUCUGGUAGCUGGUUCCUGCG